AUGCCAGCUCUUUUUCAUGUAUGCAUGUGCGUGCAUGUGCGUGUGCACACGCAUACCUGCAGACAUCUGUACAUGCACACAUCUACACACACCACACACAUCAUUCAUACAUAUACCUGCACAUACACGUGUAUACAUACACACAUCUGCACACGCAUGCAUCUGUACAUAUACACACACCUACACACACAUCUAUACCUGCACACAUGCAUCUAUACACACACCUGUACACUCACACAUCUAUGUAUACACACACCUGCACACACAUGCAUCUGUACAUAUACACACACACACAUCUAUACAUGCACACAUCUGCACACACACACACACACACACAUCUAUACAUAUACACACACCUGCACACAUCUAAACAUAUGUGCACACACACCUAUACAUAUACACACACCUAUACAUACACAACCUGCACAUGCACACAUCUGCACACACACACACAUCUAUACAUAUAUGUCCUGUAUACACACACACAUACACCUAUGCAUGGAUAUACCUGCAAACAGCUAUACAUAUACACACUUGCACACAUACAUCUAUACAUAUACACACCUAAACACCUGCACACAUCUAAACAUAUGUGCACACACACCUAUACAUACAUACACCUGUAUACACACACACAGACACAUAUACAUGGAUAUACCUGCAUACAUCUAUACAUGCACGUAUCUGCACAAGCAUACAUCUGCACACACACACACAUCUAUACAUGCACACACCUGCAUAAUGCACACAUCUAUACAUAUAUGUCCUGUAUACACACACCUAUACAUGGAUAUACCUGCAUGCAUAUGUACGUAUACACACAUGCACACAGACAUCUAUACAUACACAACCUGCACAUGCACACAUCUGCACAUGCACACGUCUAUACAUAUACAUGCAUCUGCACACGCACACAUAUAUACACACACACACACACACACCUGUGCAUACACACACCUAUACAUAUACACACCUGUGUAUACACAGCUAUACAUACAGGCAAAUUUCCCCCCAAAUUUAAUGAUAUACUCUUGUGGCUGUUUUUCCUUUGAUGUCCUGAUUGAAGCAAUUCUGCCAUGUGAAUUUUCUCUUGAUAGCAAAUGUCUCCCAUUUCUUGCAUUUACAGUCUCUCUCACUCAUUCUCUCUUUCUCUCACUAGUGACUGACGUAGGAAAGCACUUGUGA
rnacentral:lncRNA from 1 species